rnacentral:sRNA from 1 species
AGAAACACGCCGACUAGCUAAUAUAAUAACACAUUACUUACGCCAGCUUCUGUCAUCCUCAAUGAUGUUGCUGUUUUCGCGUCGUGCGGAGAAGGAUUAAAUGUUAAAUAAUUUUUUACCCAUGGCUGGGCACCUGGCUUUGAGAGCUCAUUCUGAUGCUUGAUGAUGAAUUGGGAAUCAGCAGUGGUAACAUGCUCUGUAUUUUACUGAUAGCUCGUUCCGUCUUUUCUGUUUCUUUCUUCCGUUUAUUUUACAAAUUCUACUUAAUACGACGAUGAUUGGAAUUGUGUGUUCAAAAGUAAAUAACGCUCCGCCAAUUCGGAUGAGCAAGUGAAGAAAUCCGCUCGUGCGGCACGUUUAAGACUUGAUAAUAAGGGAAACAUAGCCAGCCCCAUUAAUCAAUGAACCAACGCC